UAAGGUGGUUAUAGCGACGGGGCUCACCUCUUACCAUUCCGAACAGAGAAGUUAAGCCCGUUAGCGCCGAUGGUACUGCAUUUGUGGAAGAGUAGGUCGUUGCCUUUU
rfam:Siansivirga zeaxanthinifaciens CC-SAMT-1, complete genome.